CAGCAGCCACGGGAAUACGUAGGGUGCGAGCGUUAAUCGGAAUUACUGGGCGUAAAGCGUGCGCAGGCGGUUGUGUAAGACAGGUGUGAGAUCCCCGGGCUUAACCUGGGAACUGCGCUUGUGACUGCACAGCUAGAGUAUGGCAGAGGGGGGUGGAAUUCCACGUGUAGCAGUGAAAUGCGUAGAGAUGUGGAGGAACACCGAUGGCGAAGGCAGCCCCCUGGGCCAAUACUGACGCUCAUGCACGAAAGCGUGGGGAGCAAACAGGAUUAGAUACCCCCGUAGUCCCUGUCUCUUAUAC
rnacentral:rRNA from 1 species